CGAAUCACAGUAGAUUAGCUUAAUCCAGGCACUAGGUGCCAGGACGAGACAUCACUCGGAAGCUGUUGCUCCGAAGCAUUCCGGUUCAGUGGUGCAGUUACAUCGGGGAUAGUCAAAGGCGGCCUCGCACUUUUGAUGAAACUUUAGAGGAUAAGGCAGGAAUUGAUGGCUUUGGUUCUGUUCCUGCACGAAAAUUUAGGCAAAGAUAAGCAUGUAGAAAGCUUAUGAUUUCCUCGUUUGGACCGGGGUUCGUUCCCCCGCAGCUCCACUU
rnacentral:tmRNA from 1 species